GACGCCGCGUGGAGGACGAAGGCCUUCGGGUUGUAAACUCCUUUUCUGGGGGACGAAUAAGGUAAGUAGGUAAUGGCUUACCGAUGACGGUACCCCAGGAACAAGCGCCGGCUAACUUCGUGCCAGCCACCGCGGUGACUGAGCGGGCUGGCAAGGCGCAUA
rnacentral:rRNA from 1 species